rnacentral:rRNA from 1 species
UACGAAGGGGGCUAGCGUUGCUCGGAAUCACUGGGCGUAAAGCGCACGUAGGCGGCUUGUUAAGUCAGGGGUGAAAUCCUGGAGCUCAACUCCAGAACUGCCUUUGAUACUGGAGAGCUUGAGUCCGGAAGAGGUGAGUGGAACUCCGAGUGUAGAGGUGAAAUUCGUAGAUAUUCGGAAGAACACCAGUGGCGAAGGCGGCUCACUGGUCCGGUACUGACGCUGAGGUGCGAAAGCGUGGGGAGCAAACAGG